CCUACGGGCGGCAGCAGUGAGGAAUAUUGGUCAAUGGACGCAAGUCUGAACCAGCCAAGUAGCGUGCAGGAUGACGGCCCUCCGGGUUGUAAACUGCUUUUAGUUGGGACUAAAAGGUGACUCGUGUACCCCGUAUUGUAUGUACUAUCAGAAAAAGGACCGGCUAAUUCCGUGCCAGCAGCCGCGGUUAUACGGAAGGUCCGGGCGUUAUCCGGAUUUAUUGGGUUUAAAGGGAGCGUAGGCCGGCUUGUAUGUCAGCUGUGAAAGUCCGCGGCUCAACCGUGGAAUUGCAGUUGAGACUGGAUGGCUUGAGUGCACACAGGGAUGCCGGAAUUCAUGGUGUAGCGGUGAAAUGCUUAGAGAUCAUGCAGAACUCCGAUCGCGAAGGCAAGUGUCCGGGGUACAACUGACGCUGAGGCUCGAAAGCGUGGGUAGCAAACAGGAUUAGAUACCCCAGUAGUC
rnacentral:rRNA from 1 species